UCUCUCAGUUACAUCGAAUGUGUCAGAUCCCCAUCCACAACCCUUCCAGUGGGGGCUGCAGGCCAAGCCUCUGUGAGUCCCCUGCGUCCCUGGGGUGGAAUCCCUGAGGCCUGGAGCAAGCGGGUGGUUGGUGUGGCUGUGUAUACCGGAGCCAGUGGAGGAGCCACCCUGCCUCUGCCAGCUUCUGGGGAGCCAGCACCCUUGACUGUGGCCCGACCCAGCUGCGAGCCUGUCUCCCCGUAUCUCUCCCCAUCUUCCAUGGACACCAGUGGCUGGAUUAUGGUUCCUACUCCAGGGCGACUCCAUCUGAGCUUAUGCAUCUUCAGAGGCAGCGGCCCCACCUCCACAAGGCCACACCCACAGGCACUGGGGGUCAGAACUCAACACAUCUUUUCAGGGACGCAAUUCUACCCACAAUAGCAGGACAGGCUACGGAGCAGCCACAUGCACGACUGGCUGUAGACACGGGUGCAGGGAGGUGAGUGGCGAGGGUCCUUGCUGACCGACCUGAGGUUCCACCUGGUGCCUAUCCCGGUCCCCACACAAGUCAUUCCCUCCUAGCCAUGCCCUGCUGUGGAGUCCUGAGCAGAGAGCUCUGAGGAGCUGUGGAGGCUCAGUGACCCUUGCCCCACUCUGAUGCCAGGCCCCAGGAUCCUGGCCAGGAGAAGCACGCUCAGACCCUGUUGGAUGAGGAGCAGGAAUCUGCUGCAUAGAGAAAGAGUUCCUUCAAAAGCAACUUUAGAUUCCACGAGACGUGCCUGGGCCCCAGGUUGGCAGGAGGACGUGAAAAGACAGCAGCAUUCCCUACUGAGAGUGGCAGAGGUGUGAAGGCUGCACUGGCCAGGGACCAGGCCUGAGCACCAGGGAUGUGGCCACCAACUGGGUCAGCUAGAGGUGAGGCCCACCCCCAUGGCCAGCUCCUCACAGUACAGCAGGCCUGGCCAACACCACAUGGGGACCGCAACCCACCCACACAUGCAGGCCUCCGAGGAGACAGCACAGCCUCACUAGACGCAGCAGAAAACAGACUAAGACGCAGCCUCUGAGGGCAGGCGUCCAGGACAGAAGACCUCUGCCCUGAAGUUACUGAGGGACCUCGGUGACGCAGACACCUCGGCCCCAGCCCGACGCGUGAGGACAGAGGGCCUUCUCCACACCUGCAGGAGGGGCUGUUGCCGUCACAGACAGAACAGGCUUCAGUGUGUCUACUGCGCAUCUCCCACGAUGGAGACAUGCACGAGCAUUCAGAAAGCCUCGUGAGCCUGUGUGCACUCCAAAUAUUCUAAAUUCGGUUUCCAGCACCUGUGCGUUGCUGCUGAGGACACACCACGCCAGGCCACCAUGCAGCCUGGUUGCCGUGGGCGUGUGCUGCACGUGGGCUGCUACCAAUAAUUUGCUUUUGGGUUUCGACAUCCGCUUGCCAACAGAUACUCCCCUCUGUCGAUGCCGGGGGAUGAGCUGUUCUCUCUAAUAGGGAGAAAAUCUAACCUAGAGCUGAAACCCAUGGAAACACGGAGAAUACCUUUGAACAGCUCAGACCUAGACAGCCGUGGACAGGAUCCUCUGUCCUAUUGUUCUGUGAGCUGCCGGCAGUUUUCCCCCCAGGAUGACCCACCUCCCUCACUGGAGGAACAAAGCACACUAUGUUCUCGAGAAGGAACAGCUUCCCAGAGAGAGGAAACCCCUAAAUACAGAGGCCGUGCCAGAGAGUAAGGAGAACACACUUGUUCUGAAACAAAGGACCCACUGAAGUCACACCAUGUCCGAGAAAUUCUCGAUGAGAGCUCCAGAUGGCAGGAUGUAUAAUAUAAAUAUAACUGACACGCCAACUGCUGGGGCUGGAGUGGAGAGACUCGGAGGACAGGGUGGUGAGGGAGAACGUUACGAGGCUGAUCCCAGCACAAUUCAUUAAAUUCUUUCUAAAAGAAAAACUAGAGGAAAAAAGCAUAAGGUAUGUCUUGAACAAGCAGAAUUGGUAAAAACAAGACUUUAAAAAUUAAACUAGAACUUUUCAGAUAAAAACCUCCAGGUUAACAUUUAUCCACAGUACCACUGCCAGUCAUUUGGGAUGUGACGUUCAUUCUGUGCGUAAGGAAGUUUCUGGAAGAGGCAUAGCAGCCACAGGAGGCCUCUGCUUUUUCUGCGGGACCCGGGUGCUCUGUGGGUGGAGGUGCAGCCGUCCUCCCGCCCUGGCUUUGCUUGCAGGGCAGCUGCUAUAUUCAUGGCUCUCCCACGAUCCAUCCAGACCCUGCGCGAGAGGGUCUCAAAGUCACCUUGAGCCUCCAGGUGCUCUUAGCCCCAGGGCAGAACCUGGAAUCCCACCAGGAGGUGCCUGGCACACAUAUCCCACAUGUGAGCAGGGCUGGGGGCGUUCCAGGCCUGAGGAGCCGUGUGAGGAGAGGCCCCAGGGGUAAUGAAGGCACAGGAAGUAAGAAACCCUAGGAGACAGCAAAUGGUCCCUGCGGUCAGCCUGGGCGUGCACCGGGCAGGUGGCCAGGAAGGAAUGAUGCAUUUCACGGAAAUGAGGAAGGUGAGUCAGGAUGGAACCUUGUCUCGGGUGGGUCAGGGGUCAGUCUUCAGCCCAGCCACCCAGUCGGACCCUCGCCGGGGGCUGUGCGGGGGUCGUGUGGGUGUGGCUGAUUAAUACCUGCAGUCAGCUGGCUCCGAGGGGAGCAUGUGCCCCUCCACAGUGGGCUGGGCCUCAUUCAAUCCCUGCAUGGCCUUAAGAGAACAGGACAGGGUCCCCUGGAGAAGCGGACACCUGCCUGCAGACUGUCACAUGGAAAUCCCACCUGAGUCUCCAGCCUGUGUCUGUACUACUGAAGUCAGACACGCCAGCCGCACAAUUGCCUAAGCCAGCCCACGAUACGGCGCACACAGAGGAACCACGCACGUCCACGCUUCUCCUAAGGUUCUGCGUCUCUGAGAAUGCGGCAGGCCUGGUCUCGAGAGCCCAGGAAGAGCUUAAAGUCUUUAUUUGCUGCCACAUGAGGCAUCAAGGAAAGAGAAAUACAUCUACAAACUGGCAUCUGAGGAAGACUGACGGUGAUGGCUGGGGAAUGUCCCAGUUAAAGGGAGUCAGAAGAGUUGGAUGCUGAAUGUGAAGAAAUUUUAGGAAGAUCUAACCAAGUUACUUUGCUUAGCUUCCCUUUGUGUAUAUACAACAUUGAUGGCAAAAAUGUGAAUAAGUC